rnacentral:rRNA from 1 species
AUAGACCCGAAACCCGGUGAUCUAGCCAUGGGCAGGUUGAAGGUUGGGUAACACUAACUGGAGGACCGAACCGACUAAUGUUGAAAAAUUAGCGGAUGACUUGUGGCUGGGGGGGAAAGGCCAAUCAAACCGGGAGAUAGCUGGUUCUCCCCGAAAGCUAUUUAGGUAGCGCCUCGUGAAUUCAUCUCCGGGGGUAGAGCACUGUUUCGGCAAGGGGGUCAUCCCGACUUACCAACCCGAUGCAAACUGCGAAUACCGGAGAAUGUUAUCACGGGAGACACACGGCGGGUGCUAACGUCCGUCGUGAAGAGGGAAACAACCCAGACCGCCAGCUAAGGUCCCAAAGUCAUGGUUAAGUGGGAAACGAUGUGGGAAGGCCCAGACAGCCAGGAUGUUGGCUUAGAAGCAGCCAUCAUUUAAAGAAAGCGUAAUAGCUCACUGGUCGAGUCGGCCUGCGCGGAAGAUGUAACGGGGCUAAACCAUGCACCGAAGCUGCGGCAGCGACGCUUAUGCGUUGUUGGGUAGGGGAGCGUUCUGUAAGCCUGUGAAGGUGUG